GGGCUCAUGGCAUAUCAGCGUUGUCUGUUANCGUUAACGUCGUACCAAGGGCAUCGACCGGGUAGCUGGUCUGAGAGGACGAUCAGUUACACUGGCGCUGAGACACGCGCCAGACUCNUACGUGAGGCAGCAGUGAUGGAAUAUUGCGCAAUGGGCGAAAGCUUGACGCAGCGACGCCGCGUGGGGGAAGAAGGUCUUCGGAUUGUAAACCCCUUUCAGGAGGAAAGAUGGGGUGGGUAACCACUCGGACGGUACCUCCAGAAGAAGCCACGGCUAACUUCGUGCCAGCAGCCGCGGUAAUACGAAGGUGGCGAGCGUUGUUCGGAUUUACUGGGCGUAAAGAGCACGUAGGCGGUUUGGUAAGCCCCUUGGGAAAGCUCCAGGCUUAACCUGGAAAGGUCGAGGGGGACUGCCAGGCUAGAGGACGGGAGAGGAGCGCGGAAUUCCCGGUGUAGCGGUGAAAUGCGUAGAUAUCAGGAGGAAGGCCGGUGGCGAAGGCGGCGCUCUGGAACGUUCCUGACGCUGAGG
rnacentral:rRNA from 1 species